GCGAGAAAGACGAGAUAAAGGCACAGUAGUGGAAGGCGUGAGCAAAGUAGAGGAGAAGCAGAGUGACAAGGAGUCGAGGACUGGAGAGGAUCAUUGUACGGACUCUAACGGGUCUGAUGUUUCAGACGAAUUGGUAUCCUUGGUAACUGCAUGGGCCUCAUUUGUAAAGCCGAGUGCUGGAUGGUAUUAGGCUAAGAGCGCUCAGCACAGCGGACCGGUGUGACUGCUCAGAAGAAAUACAGGCACGCUGAGUGCGAGCCAAAGAUAGCCUAACAAAGCAGAAAAAAGAAACACGUGCCUCAUUAGGAUGGAUAGGUUAACUAUGUUGUUUAUUCGAUGUAAAUAAUCCGGUAAGUGAGACGGUAUUCAUGAGGGGAUGCUGGAGGGAGCAGCUAUGAUGGACAGGCUGCUUUCAAAGAGGCAGAAGCAAAUGAUCUCUUCACCGUGAAUAGCUUCAGCUCCACUUAUCCUUAUGUCCACACAGCAUGAAUACCAGUCCGUCUCUUUACCAACCUGUUAUCACAGAGACUCCCAGCACACUUCAGUGUGACAAGAGGCAGUGGAAGAUGGACGUGGGAGUCCGUGUAGGCACAGUUUACGCCAAUCUGUCCACUGCAAUGUGGAGCAAGUCAGUGCCAACCUGACACAGCGACAUCAAUCCACAGCUCGGGUCUCCUGACGCCGAUGACUACCAGGACAGGAGUGUUGGGAGACUGAUUUUGUGAAUGUGGAGCCACUCGGCUACAUGCAAGUAUCCGCCCACACAGCUCCAGCUAGAAGCUUCUCUCCAUCUGUGGCAGCUUUGAAAUGCGACUCCAGCAUUUGCCUGUUGUUUUUUUUUUUUUUUUCUUCAUCAUGCUAAUUGAUACAAACCAAAUUAACUGCUUCACAAUUCCACUCAUGUUCAUUAUUCUACAACAUAACUACUUUUGCCAUUUACGUUGCAAAAUUUUACCCAAGAGCCUGCGCGCAUAAGUAACAACAGAGCGAAGGACGAAAAUGAGAAGAGCAUGACUUCAAAAUGAGACGUCAUUUACAUCAGGAAAGGGUUAUUUCACUCAAAUUAAGGAAACACAUCUUUUGAUUCACAGCAGCUUCAGUGGUGGGAUCGCUUCACUUUCAAGCUCAAAGAACAACAACUCGGAAGUGAGAGAAAAUUUGCCAAGCUGACGUCGUAUGAUGCUGAAACAUCGCGGACGAAAGUAAAUACCGGGUUGACGUGAGUGGAGAAGACUGUGUGCAUGCGGCGGAACAAGGCUCACUUCCUGACAGAUGCUGAGAGAAAAGUGCACUCCUGGGCAGGAAGUAGCUGGCAUUCAUGUGAAACCGUGUUUCUGUUUGGGGAGCAAGCAGACAGCGGCAGAAUGGAUUCUCUCUGCAGGUAAGGGGAGAAAAGGACAAGUUUGUCUUAAAGGGGCGAGACGGGGUGGACCGGCCAGAGGACAAAGACCAAGUGAAGAACUGAACGCAGGUUGUCACCGUCAUGUCCGACACUGGCCACAGCUUCAUCGACACCACCUGUUUACUGGACUCAAGCAGAGCGCUGAGUAUCGACCGCAACACUGAAACAAGGUUGAGAAUGGAUUUUACCUCCACCUUACCUUCAUCAGAGCAGGUUGGAAACAGCGAAAGCACUCCUCACUUUCAAGCACACUCAUUUUUUUUCUAUUCAUCCGAGUUUAUUUUGAAAGAGUUAAACAGUUCCUCUGUGUCAUAGAAUAUCUUUGCUCACAGAGGGCCGAGGGAUUUUACUUGAUUUCAAUGAUUUAAACCAACAAAGUGAAGGAUGACUUUGUUGUAGAGGAAAAACAUCUCCGUAAGAGGACAACAAACAAACGAGGUGUUUGCUAUUUUAUAAUAUCAAUAUGAAUACAUAAAUAAAAUGUAAAUCAUUGUACAGUACGGCAUGCAGCAAUGUAUUGUACAGGAUGCAUAUGUGUAAACUGUAUUCAUAUAAAUCAACACAGCACAGCAGGAAUCAAACACAUGUACAACAAACACAGUCAGAUCUGAUUACAUGUAAAAUGUGGUCACACUAAACUGAAAGGCGGUGGUGCCAGGAAGAAUUAUCAUUAUGUUACUAAUGGUACCUAAUUCACAUCCUUCAGUUUGAAAGCAGAUAGCUGAAAAAAAGAGAGUUAUCACGGUAAAAUAUAAAGUAACACAGAGUGCUCCAUUAACUCUUAAUGAAAGACUGACUCACUCACGCUGGUUAGAGCGUGUGGUUUUACCGGCAAUAUCACAGGAACAAAAUCAUUUUCAAAACAGUUUCUCAAAGUGUGUCUGCAGAAUGAGGAUGACACAUCCUCUGUGGUUUUUGGAAAGGAAAAGUCAGUGUUGUGUAAGCCACGGGAAAAGACUCGUGGUGAGGGAAAGAUAACAAACAACAAAGCAAAUGUGAGCAUUCAUUAAAAGCUUGGCCACCUAUUGUGUCAAAUUCUAUAUGUUCAGUUUUUGUUCCCCAAGAAGACGAGUAAAUAUUUGUGAGCACACACAAAGUCACUCCUUAAUCUACAAACAGGAAAUAACACAACUGUUUUGUUGAUCCACAAACUUAUUUGUAAAUACUGACACCCAAACAACAAGUACAUUUCUGUUUCACUGUUGCUCUAAUACAUUAUUCAGUGAUUUGGGUGAAUCUGGGUAUGUUUGAUUUGUUCGUGGUUUUCCCUCUGGUGCUCUCGGGCCGCUCUGGACAUUUAGCUUUACUUGUUGCUAAAGUGACUGCUAACAAACUUGCUGAUAACCAGCAGCUCCUCAAUGAAGCCUCUGGAGCGGGACCUCACAUGGCCUCUAAGAACCACGGCGGAGGAAAAUUAUAGUAUCGAGGCAAUUUUUAAAAAGUUUCCCGGUAAACUAUGCCAAAACAAAUAGCACUCCAUUAGCCACUUCAUUGGAACUUCAAAUGUCCCAGUGGGCCAUGUCAGUGGGUGAGCAUGCACGAUACCAAAGCCCUGGAAGAAGCUCAACUUCAUGGAAAGAACGCCAUCACUGAGGGAAGAAAAUUCAACUUGUGCUUUUCCUGCUUUGACAAGUCAGAAUGCCUGCCGUGUAAAGGGUUUAUCAUUUCAACAUUUACUGUCUUUAUACCCUUGAUUUGAGUCCACUGAAGCAGCAGCGUGACAGAGUGCCAGAAUGUACAAUACCAGGACCCUGGAACUAAAACAACUGAAACAAAUUUAGCCCUCGUUAUUUUUUUUUUUAACCCUCUUUCAAACUGUGCUUUUACUACAGUUUCAAAAUAUCAUCUUAGAAAAAAUGGCAGUGACUACUUUCCAUUUUUAGCGCUGUCCGGGAUUAUUUUACUUUGUGUUCUGACCUUGCAUGUUUCUCUGAGGAUAGUAGAAAAUGUUUAUUAAAAAAAAAAAGAAAGAAAACACACAGGUGC